rnacentral:rRNA from 1 species
UACAGAGGUCUCAAGCGUUGUUCGGAUUCAUUGGGCGUAAAGGGUGCGUAGGCGGCGCGGUAAGUCGGGUGUGAAAUCUUGGAGCUUAACUCCGAAACUGCAUUGGAUACUGCCGUGCUUGAGGACUGGAGAGGAGACUGGAAUUUACGGUGUAGCGGUGAAAUGCGUAGAUAUCGUAAGGAAGACCAGUGGCGAAGGCGGGUCUCUGGACAGUUCCUGACGCUGAGGCACGAAGGUCAGGGGAGCAAACGGG